rnacentral:lncRNA from 1 species
GUGCUGGUGCGUAUGGUGAAGGGGUUGAAUGUUGGCUUGGUGGUGGUGGUGCUGAUACGGGAGUUGUACACUCUGGUGGGGGUGGAGGAGGAGGUAUAGGAUGACAUGACUCCUUGGGUGGUGGAUGAAACUCUACUGGUGGAGGUGGAGAUUGAGUCCCCGCAUGCUCAUGAGAUGGUGGUGGAGGUGGACUUGCUUGCUGCCCUCUUGACGGAUAAGGAGGUGGAAAAUACUGAACUUGAGGUGGCGGCGGUGGAGGCGAUGAAUGACUAGGCGUGGGAACAUAAUGAACAGAUGGGGGAGGAGGAGGUGCAUAAUGGGUACUUGGUGAUAUACUCUUUGUUGGCGGUGGCGGCGAAGGUGUGUUGUAGUAAUGGUUUGGUGAUUGUGGUGGUGGUGGUGGAUUAUUAUAGUAAUGGCCUGAUGGAGUUGGAGGUGGUUGCUCCAUUGGUGGUGAGGGUGGUGUAUUGUGGUAAUGGCUUGAUGGUGGAGCGUUGGAGUAACGGUUUGGUGGUGGUGGUGCACUAUAGUAAUGGCCUGAUGGGGCUGGUGCAGGUGGUUGUACCAUUGGUGGUGGAGGUGGAGAUUGUAUGGGCUCGUAGUGAACAGGCGGAGGUGGCGGUGGAAGAUGCGUCUUUGGUGACACUCUUUGAGUCGGAGGUGGUGGAGUUAAAGAGUGAGAGUAAUUCGGUGGUGGUGGCGACGGUGGGGAAUGGAAAGGAGGCAUUGGUGAAGAGUGGGAUGACGGUGGUGGUGGAGGAUGUGAUCUAGUGGAAGGCGAAGACUUCGAAGAAGGUGGGGGAGGGGAUUUCGUUAAGGACUUUGGUGAACUGGAUUGACGCGG